GUACGCGGCGUCGUCAGCCCACUCGCCGCACAUCCUCGGCGAGGUCGCCGGCGAUGGCGCCGCCACCGCCAGGGCGGCAGCGGCUGCCCUGCGACGGCGAGGAGGACGCCCCCCCCCCUCUCCACCGCCGCCGGUGAGGGCCUCCUCCGUCCAGCGAUCGCUUCCGGCGGGACGUACGGGGCCCGCCGCGAGCCUGAUAUACUGGCUGCUGAUGUAGCAGAAGAACGUUGAUUCAUGAGAAAGUAAUAUGGCAGAAAAGGUUUGAUUUCAGAGAAUCGUAAUUUUGGGACAAUUGGAGCUGCAUUUCUCAGCGCCUCCUGGCUGCAGUCUCUCUCUGGGCAUUGAAGUAGACAGCAGCCACAGGAAGGCCAAGAUCAUUCUCCUCGGCGAACCGGCGGGUGUUGAAAUGGUCCCUGAAGGAUGGCACAAUUACAGUUUGCCUGCGCUUCUGCUUGAAGAGCACAAAAAUGAACCUAUGGAUGCCAAUGUUCGGCUUUGGACUCUCAUAGCUUAUGACCUCGCGUCCUUCAAUCGGAAAGUGGUACAGUUGUUUAUUCACAAGGAGAAACUCAAUGAAUAAGAUGGAAAAAAAAACUGACACAAAUUAGAGGAAGGACCUACCAAAAGAAGCAUCCGUUGUCCCAGGUAUAUCAGUAACAAUCCUGCGUAAAUGUUAAGAAAAAAAUGCUUCACCACCUGCGUGGAAGUGUCUGCGCCCUCAAAUGUUCAUCUUUGCACACCUUGUUUAUUUAGGUAAGCCCCAUUCAGCGUCCUCUUUUUCUGAUAAGGAAAAGAGAAUUUGAUGAGUUUAAUUGCUGUUAGAUUCUUUCCCCAAACUGUGAUACUACUUGGAUUACCAUUAUUAUCUGUUUAUUCUCUUCUUUGGAGGACUAUGGCAAAACACCAUGGAAGAGAAUAAAGGAAGGGAACGCAGUGCUGCCACCACUUCAAUGUGUAGGGGUGCUGUCUAGUGCUCAGAUGUCAUUUCAAUGUUUAAAGAUCAUAUGUUCUCCUUAAUUGAGCCAUUAAAAAAACUUUCUAUAUUUCCAUAAGUAGUGGAGCCAAGUACAGCUUUAUGCAUUCCUCUGUUCUGGUGUAAUGCCAUCAUGCCUACUUGACACUUUGAGCAACUAGCCAAGUAGAGGUAGUGGAGCCAAGUACAGCUUGUGACAUUUUCCGGUUCCAUUCUAAUGCCAUGAUAAUUGCUUGA